rnacentral:rRNA from 1 species
ACGGGAGGCAGCAGUGGGGAAUAUUGCACAAUGGGCGAAAGCCUGAUGCAGCGACGCCGCGUGAGCGAAGAAGUAUUUCGGUAUGUAAAGCUCUAUCAGCAGGGAUGAUAAUGACGGUACCUGACUGAGAAGCACCGGCUAAAUACGUGCCAGCAGCCGCGGUAAUACGUAUGGUGCAAGCGUUAUCCGGAUUUACUGGGUGUAAAGGGAGCGCAGGCGGUACGGCAAGUCUGAUGUGAAAGCCCGGGGCUCAACCCCGGCACUGCAUUGGAAACUGUCGAACUAGAGUGUCGGAGGGGUAAGUGGAAUUCCUAGUGUAGCGGCGAAAUGCGUAGAUAUUAGGAGGAACACCAGUGGCGAAGGCGGCUUACUGGACGACAACUGACGCUGAGGCUCGAAAGCGUGGGGAGCAAACAGGAUUAGAUACCCUGGUA